UUUUAAGUAGGUUGGCAACGUGAAAUGAAAUAGAUGCAUAUGAUUGGUGGAAUGUUAUCAUCUCAGUCCAACAACCAAUCAUAUGCUAAUGCUAUUAUCAUUCACUGUGACCAACCGAAAUAAUAUUUAGCAGAAAAUUUUUUUAGAGGUUCACGAUAUUUCUUUUCUGCGCACCCUGUAGAAGCCAUUAGUUUGCUUUUCAAGUUUUGCGAAAGUGAUUAAUUUACGUUUGAAUUUUGCAAAAUUAAGAUGUAUAGUUGGGUGUUUUGAAGAAUUAUUGCACAUCAAUCGAAAGAAUUAUUGAAUCCAACGCCGAAGAAUACUUCGAUCAACAUUCCAGCGACUUCCUAUUCAUCAUAGUAUUCGAUCAAAUCUAUUUCAAUUUUUGUUGGUUCGGUAACACGAGUUCGAGUCAUCUACGCUAAAUAAUUUCGAGCAGCUUCGAACCAAUACCUCAAUUCAGCCCAAAUCAAACUCCAACUUUCAACAUGGGAACUGAUGUUGAUUAUCUCGAGGAUCAAGAGUGUGGUUGUCUGUUGCAUAUUUGGACUACCGAUUGCUAUAAUAUUCGCCAUGAAAAACGCAUCAAAACAUGCGAUACGUGCGCCAAACGCGAAAAACUACAAAAAGAAGCCAACGAAGUGAAAAGGCAACAACGAGUAGUAGAACGGAAUCGACAUAAAUACAUAAGGAGUAUUUACGAGAACGUCCCUUCGAACCGUAUUCUUAUAAAAGCGGCGAUUGAUAAGUACAGGCAGGACAAAGGCAGCAAGAGGACUGAUGUUUGGAUAUUGAAGCAUUUGCAAGAGAAACCACUGUGCGAUAUUUUAGAAGUACAGAAAGAAAAAGCACGUUGGUUUUGCAACAAAGAUAGAUUGGAUUUUGUCGAUUUUAAGAAGUUAGAACCUUAGGUAUACUUAUUGAUUUUUAUGUACCUAAUAGUGUAAUACAGUUAUUACUACUUCGAAGUUAAUAGAAAUAAGCCAAAUUAUUUUUCGUUUUUCGUUUUCAUUUUUGUACUAUAAGCAUGUUAAGCACGUAUGUAAUUUUGAGAAAUACAUAAUCUUUUUCUACAAAA